rnacentral:rRNA from 1 species
GUGGAUUAGAUACCCUGGUAGUCCACGCUGUAAACGAUGGAUACUAGGUGUGGGAGGUAUUGACCCCUUCCGUGCCGGAGUAAACACAAUAAGUAUCCCACCUGGGGAGUACGGCCGCAAGGUUGAAACUCAAAGGAAUUGACGGGGGCCCGCACAAGCAGUGGAUUAUGUGGUUUAAUUCGAAGCAACGCGAAGAACCUUACCAGGGCUUGACAUCCUACUAACGAAGUAGAAAUACAUUAGGUGCCCUUCGGGGAAAGUAGAGACAGGUGGUGCACGGCUGUCGACAACU